ACGGAAGGCAGCAGUGGGGAAUAUUGGGCAAUGGGCGAAAGCCUGACCCAGCAACGCCGCGUGAAGGAAGAAGGCCUUCGGGUUGUAAACUUCUUUUGUCAGGGACGAAGGACGUGACGGUACCUGACGAAUAAGCAACGGCUAACUACGUGCCAGCAGCCGCGGUAAUACGUAGGUUGCAAGCGUUGUCCGGAUUUACUGGGUGUAAAGGGCGUGUAGGCGGAGCUGCAAGUCAGAUGUGAAAUCCCGGGGCUCAACCCCGGAACUGCAUUUGAAACUGUAGCCCUUGAGUAUCGGAGAGGCAAGCGGAAUUCCUAGUGUAGCGGUGAAAUGCGUAGAGAUCAGGAAGAACACCGAUGGCGAAGGCAGCUUGCUGGGGACUUAUCGACGCUCAUGCUCGAAAGUGCGGGUAGCAAACAGGAUUAGAUACCCUGGUA
rnacentral:rRNA from 1 species